rnacentral:rRNA from 1 species
CACGUAGGGGCCAAGCGUUGUCCGGAUUUAUUGGGCGUAAAGAGCUCGUAGGCGGUUGGGUAAGUCGGGUGUGAAAACUCCAGGCUCAACUUGGAGACGCCACCCGAUACUGCUCUGACGUUGAGUUCGGUAGGGGAGUGGGGAAUUCCUGGUGUAGCGGUGAAAUGCGCAGAUAUCAGGAGGAACACCGGUGGCGAAGGCGCCACUCUGGGCCGAAACUGACGCUGAGGAGCGAAAGCGUGGGUAGCAAACAGG